rnacentral:rRNA from 1 species
CAGCCGCCGCGGUAAUACCGGCGGCCCGAGUGGCGGCCACUAUUAUUGGGCUUAAAGCGUCCGUAGCCGGGUUGGUUAGUCUCCCGGGAAAUCUGGCCGCUUAACGGUCAGAAUUCCGGGAGAUACUGCCAGCCUAGGGACCGGGAGAGGCCGAGGGUAUUCCCGGAGUAGGGGUGAAAUCCUAUAAUCCCGGGAGGACCACCUGUGGCGAAGGCGCUCGGCUGGAACGGGUCCGACGGUGAGGGACGAAGGCCAGGGGAGCAAACCGGAUUAGAUACCCGGGUAGUCCUGGCGGUAAACGAUGCGGACUAGGUGUCGGGCAAGCUAAGGGCUUGUCCGGUGCCGCAGGGAAGCCGUUAAGUCCGCCGCCUGGGGAGUACGGCCGCAAGGCUGAAACUUAAAGGAAUUGGCGGG